AUUGAACGCUGUCGGCAGGCCUAACACAUGCACGUCGAGCGAGCGGCGGACGGGUGAGUAAUGUCUGGGAAACUGCCUGAUGGAAGGGGAUAACUACUGGAAACGGUUGCUAAUACCGCAUACCAUCAGAUUUGCCCAGAUGGGAUGAGCUAGUAGGUGGGGUAACGGCUCACCUAGGCGACGGUCCCUAGCUGGUCUGCGAGGAUGACCAGACAGACUGGAAGUGAGACACGGUCGCGACUCCGACGGGAGGUAGCAGUGGGGAAUAUUGCACAAUGGGCGCAAGCCUGAUGCAGCCAUGCGGCGUGUAUGAAGAAGGCCUUAGGGUUGUAAAGUACUUUCAGCGGGGAGGCGUGACCCGCAGAAGAAGCACCGGCUAACUCCGUGCCAGCAGCCGCGGUAAUUC
rnacentral:rRNA from 1 species